UGGGGAAUUUUGGACAAUGGGCGAAAGCCUGAUCCAGCAAUGCCGCGUGUGUGAAGAAGGCCUUCGGGUUGUAAAGCACUUUUGUCCGGAAAGAAAUCCUUGGCUCUAAUACAGUCGGGGGAUGACGGUACCGGAAGAAUAAGCACCGGCUAACUACGUGCCAGCAGCCGCGGUAAUACGUAGGGUGCAAGCGUUAACCGGAAUUACUGGGCGUAAAGCGUGCGCAGGCGGUUUGCUAAGACCGAUGUGAAAUCCCCGGGCUCAACCUGGGAACUGCAUUGGUGACUGGCAGGCUAGAGUAUGGCAGAGGGGGGUAGAAUUCCACGUGUAGCAGUGAAAUGCGUAGAGAUGUGGAGGAAUACCGAUGGCGAAGGCAGCCCCCUGGGCCAAUACUGACGCUCAUGCACGAAAGCGUGGGGAGCAAACAGGAUUAGAUACCCUGGUAGUCCACGCCCUAAACGAUGUCAACUAGUUGUUGGGGAUUCAUUCCUUAGUAACGUAGCUAACGCGUGAAGUUGACCGCCUGGGGAGUACGGUCGCAAGAUUAAAACUUCAAAUGGAAUUGACGGGGUCAUAGCUGUUUCCU
rnacentral:rRNA from 1 species